GCUACUACCGAUUGAAUGGUUUAGUGAGGACUCCUGAUUGGCGCCGCCGCCCCGGCAACGGAGCAUCGGACUGCCGAAAAGUUGUUCAAACUUGAUCAUUUAGAGGAAGUAAAAGUCGUAACAAGGUUUCCGUAGGUGAACCUGCAGAAGGAUCAAGUUCGCAAGAGCGUCGUGUAGUGAACGCGUUUAGAUCUCUGUUUUCGCCGUCUCAUUAUCCAACCCUUUUCCUUUCUCUCUCUUCUCUCUUUCUUCCCUCUCUUCCUCCCUCCUCUCCUCU
rnacentral:misc_RNA from 1 species